rnacentral:rRNA from 1 species
CAGCCGUAAACUAUGCUCGCUAGGUGUCAGGCAUGGCGCGACCGUGUCUGGUGCCGCAGGGAAGCCGUGAAGCGAGCCACCUGGGAAGUACGGCCGCAAGGCUGAAACUUAAAGGAAUUGGCGGGGGAGCACCGCAACGGGAGGAGCGUGCGGUUUAAUUGGAUUCAACACCGUAAAACUCACCAGGGAAGACUGUUACAUGAAGGCCGAGAUGAAGACUCUGCUAGAUUUUCAGAGAGGAGGUGCAUGGCGUAGACGUCU